GAAGCCAGAGCCGACCACCAAUGUUGAUUAAACCACCGAUGUCAGAAACAUAGCCGGAUGAAUAUGCAAACGAAGGCAUCUACACCGGAAGCAAAGCCAAUCUAUAUAUACCGUUGAGAAAGCUGGUACAACCAAACGACAAACCCACCUCAAAUGAGAUAAAAGUCAACGAAAAAAUACAUCAGAGAAAUCUGAGAGAAUGAAAAAUGAAAGAGAGAAGAGAGAGAAACCUUAG